UCAUCUUCCAUCCCAAACCUCUGAAAAGCAAGGAACGGGGAUGCUUGGGUCUGCUGAGAUGUGGCCUGGCGAGCCUGCAGCUUCUACUUGCUGGAGGCACAGGAAGGAAGGAAUUGUUCUUGGCCACGGUGACCGGACCGGUGACCUCUCCUGAUUCAUGCACGGCACGGCGCGCGCGCGCGGAGAUCCGUUGCAGAGAGCAAGGGAUCGAUCCAUCCGGUGGUGCGGCGUCAGCUAGACUAUGAGGGGAAAAAGCUGCCACUACCUAGCAGCCUAGUAUACGUUUCCUUGGAUGGGAGAACUUUGAUUUUAGAAAAUUUUCCAAAGAAAAGAGAGGAUGGCAGCCUACGUUUCCUUGGACGGGUGAAUUUGGGAGGCCUUGUUUAGUUUUCAAAAAGUUUUGCAAAAUUUUUCAGAUUCCCGUCACAUCGAAUCUUUAGAGAGGCUCAGACAGUCAAAAGGUCUGACUGACACACUGUAUAGGACUGCCAAGGGUCAAAUCUAUGGUCGACACUUCACACUCUGAUAAGCCGUACGCACGUCACAGGAGAGAAAUGCAGGGAUACAAGGGGCUGUCGGCCUCUUCAUCCCUAACGCUCUACAAACAGGCAAGGAAACCUGAUGCUUGGCACGCCUUCAGGCACAAGUUUUUUAAUUUUUUUUAAGAUUUUUCUUCACAUUAAAUUUUGCAGGCACAUGCAUAAAAUAUUAAAUAAAUAAGAAAAUAAAAAUUAAUUAUAUAAUUUACCUAUAUAAUUUACAAAAUAAAUCUUUUAAACAUAGUUAGUUCAUAAUUAAAUAAUAAUUAUCAAAUAUAAACAAAAAUACUAUAAUACCUAAAAUCUAAACAUUUUGCCAACUGAACAAGACCGAGCCUACUGGCUGGCCGAGGUGGGCAGAACUUCGUCUUUCCACUCCCUAAUUUUUAGCAUUAGCGUCUCAUACGUUGCAAUAUUUCAGGAAUUAGUUGGAAGUUUUUGGGACCAACAAUUAAGCAUUUUUUCUAUGCCAUUGUAAAAGCAUCCUAAAUAGAAAACUCAAACACUUAGAGCAUCUCAGGAGUGUUUGAAUACCAAUAUUGACUUACUUUAGCUAAUAACGAAAAAAUUGAAAUGGCUAGAGAGUACCAAUAUUUGAAUAUCUAAGUUGAUUCUUAAAGCAGUAUGAAUGUUUGUAUCUUUUAGGUAUCUUAUUAUAUAAACAUAUUCUAGAUUAAUUAGUAAAAUAUAUCUUCUACAUAUAUUUUGUUAAAUUUUAAGGUUGUUUAUUUUCUCAGAAAGCAAGGUUUUUAUUCUUAAGCUUAUUUUUUUACUGUAGAUAGACUAUAUAUACUAUGGCCUUGUUCAGUUGAGGAAAAAUUUGGGUUUUGGCUACUGUAGCACAUUCGUUUGUUUGUGACAAAUAUUAUCUAAUCAUGGACUAACUAGACUCAAAAGAUUCAGCUCGCGAAUUACAGAGGAGGUUUUCCAAGGUUCCAACCCAGGUUCCUACUCCUAUCCGUCCCACUCUCCCUCAAGCUAUUGCCCAAGCUUUUGAAGAGUUUGGUUCAUUUUGGUCACCAAAGCCUGAUAUGGCUAAGGCAGUUCAAUUUGCGGAGGAGAUCUGCAAGGUGCUGAAAGAUGUACCGGAAGAAGUGGCAAUAGCCAAAGCUUCUGGGCUAGUGGCUGAGUUAUCUAGGGUCCUGAAUGUGUCCACAUUUGAGACGAGGUUGUCUCAGGCUGAGCUUACCAUCAAGACUUAUAUGUAGACGAGGUUGUCUCAUUGCGAUUUAACGCUGUGUACUAAUAGUAGCGCGAUGGGAUUGAAUUCUGCUGGUAGCGAUGAACGCUGUGUAGUGAAUUGUGCUGGUAGCGAUGAACGCUGUGUAGAAGUGCGUGUGGUGCCCAUUGAAUGAACCCUGUGUGUUCAGUCCAAUGUGGCUGGAUGAUGGAGGAUUACUUUUGUGUAGUUACAAACAAGUAUUUUCGUUGCUUUAAUAGUAAUGAAAUUCUGCAUUUCCAGAA